AAUAACAAUACAGGGCAUUUUAUGCUCUGUAAUUGGAAUGAUGGGAAUGUAAAACCCUUCCAGAGUAACAAUUGGAGGGCAAGUCUGGUGCCAGCAGCCGCGGUAAUUCCAGCUCCAAUAGUGUAUAUUAGAGUUGUUGCAGUUAAAAAGCUCGUAGUUGGAUUUCUGCUGUGGUCAUCCGGUACCGCCCGUAUGGGUGCGCACCUGGUUUGGCUGCGGCUUUCUUCCUGUAGCCGUCCGCGCUUAAUUGCGUGCGUUGUGUUACGGAACUUUUACUUUGAGAAAAAUAGAGUGUUUCAAGCAGGCUUGUCGCCCUGAAUACUUCAGCAUGGAAUAAUAGGAUAGGACCUUGGUUCUAUUUUGUUGGUUUCUAGGACCAAGGUAAUGAUUAAUAGGGA
rnacentral:rRNA from 1 species